rnacentral:rRNA from 1 species
GACGAACGCUGGCGGCGUGCUUAACACAUGCAAGUCGAGCGGAAAGGCCACUUUGGGGGUACUCGAGUGGCGAACGGGGGAGUAACACGAGAGUAACCUGAACUUGACUACGGGAUAACUUCAGGAAACGGGGGCUAAUACCGGAUAGGAAUACUUGAUGCAAGGGGGGGGUUGGAAAGCUUCGGCGGUUUUGGAUGGACUCGAGGCUGAUCAGCUUGUUGGUGGGGUAGUGGCUUACCAAGGCUUUGACGGGAAGCCGGCCUGAGAGGGCGACCGGCCACAUUGAGACUGAGGUGCGGCCCGGGCUCCUACGCGAGGCAGCAGUGGGGAAUCUUGCCCAAUGGGCGGAAGCCUGAUGCAGCAACUCCGCGUGCCGUAUGACGGCCUUCUGGUUGUAAACCGCUUUCAGCAGGGGCGAUGCUUGUGGUGACGGUACCUGCAGAAAAAGCCCCGGCUAACUACGUG